rnacentral:rRNA from 1 species
GGUAACGGCCUACCAAACCGACGAUCAGUAGCCGGCCUGAGAGGGUGGACGGCCACAUUGGAACUGAGAAACGGUCCAGACUCCUACGGGAGGCAGCAGUGGGGAAUAUUGGGCAAUGGAGGCAACUCUGACCCAGCAACGCCGCGUGAAUGAUGAAGGUCUUCGGAUUGUAAAGUUCUGUGACGGGGACGAACACAAUGACGGUACCCGACAGCAAGCCACGGCUAACUAC